UGGGGAAUAUUGCACAAUGGGCGCAAGCCUGAUGCAGCCAUGCCGCGUGUGUGAAGAAGGCCUUCGGGUUGUAAAGCACUUUCAGCGGGGAGGAAGGCGGUGAGGUUAAUAACCUCAUCGAUUGACGUUACCCGCAGAAGAAGCACCGGCUAACGCCGUGCCAGCAGCCGCGGUAAUACGGAGGGUGCAAGCGUUAAUCGGAAUUACUGGGCGUAAAGCGCACGCAGGCGGUCUGUCAAGUCGGAUGUGAAAUCCCCGGGCUCAACCUGGGAACUGCAUUCGAAACUGGCAGGCUAGAGUCUUGUAGAGGGGGGUAGAAUUCCAGGUGUAGCGGUGAAAUGCGUAGAGAUCUGGAGGAAUACCGGUGGCGAAGGCGGCCCCCUGGACAAAGACUGACGCUCAGGUGCGAAAGCGUGGGGAGCAAACAGG
rnacentral:rRNA from 1 species